AGUGAACGCUGGCGGUAGGCCUACCCCAUGCAAGUCGAACGGCAGCUCAGUAAGAGCUUGCUCUUACGGGUGGCGCGUGGCGGACGGGUGAGGAAUAUAUCCGAAUUUACUUUUUCGUGGGGGGUAACGUGGGGGAACUUACGCUAAUACCGCAUACGACCUUCGGGUGAACGCAGGUGAUCUUCGGACCUUGCCCGCUGGAAUGAGCCGAUGUCGGAUUAGCUAGAUGGCGGGGUAGAGGCCCACCAAGGCGAUCACUCGUAGCUGGUCUAGGAGGGUGAUCAGCCACACUAGAACUCAGACACGGUCCAGACGCCUACACGAGGCAGCAGAGAGGAAUAUUGGACAAUGGGCGCAAGCCUGAUCCAGCCACGCCGCGUGGGUGAAGAAGGCCUUCGGGUUGUAAAGCCCUUUUGUUGGGAAAGAAAAGCAGCAGGUUAAUACCCCGCUGUUCUGACGGUACCCAAAGAAUAAGCACCGGCUAACUUCGUG
rnacentral:rRNA from 1 species